rnacentral:lncRNA from 1 species
AUGGAGCAGCUCAUCCUGGAGGCCAUCUCCAAGCAUGUGGAGGAAAAGAAGAUGAUCAGGAGUAGUCAGCAUGGCUUCCCCAAGGGGAAAGCAUGCUUAACCAAUCUGAUAGCCUUCUAUGAUGGAAUGACUGGCUGGGUAGAUGAGGGGAGAACAGUGGAUGUUGUCUACCUUGCCUUCAGCAAGGCUUUUGACACUGUCUCCCAUAACAUCCUCACAGACAAGCUCAGGAAGUGUGGGCUAGAUGAAUGGACAGUGAGGUGGAUUGAGAACUGGCUGAAUGGCAGAGCUCAGAGGGCUGUGAUCAGCGGCACAGAGACUAGUUGGAGGCCUGUAGCUAGCGGUAUCCCCCAGUGGUCAGUACUGGGUCCGGUCUUGUUCAAUUUAUUCAUCAGUGACCUAGAUGAAAGGACAGAGUGCACCCUCAGCAAGUUUACUGAUGCUACAAAACUGGGAGGAGUGGCUGAUAUCCCAGAAGGCUGUGCUGCCACUCAGAGAGACUUGGACAGGCUGGAGAGGUGGGCGGAGAGGAACCUCAUGAAGUUCAACAAAGGCAAGUGCAGGGUCCUGCACCCAGGGAGGAAUAACCCCAGGCACCAGGACAGGUUGAGGGUUGACCUGCUGGAAAGCAGCUCUGCCAAGAAGGACCUGGGAGUGCUGGUGGACACCAAGUUAAGCAUGAGGCAGCAAUGUGCCCUAGUGGCCAAGAAGGCCACUAUCCUGGGGUGCAUCAGGAAGAGUGUUGCCAGCAGGUCGAGGGAGGUGAUCCUCCCCUUCUACUCAGCCCUGGUGAGGCCACAUCUGGAGUACUGUGUCCAGUUCUGGGCUCCCCAGUACAAGAGGGAUGUGGUGCUACUGGAGCAAGUCCAGUGGAGGGCUACAAAGAUGAUUAGGGGACUGGAGCAUCUCUCUUGUGAGGAAAGGCUGAGAGAGCUGGGCCUGUUUAGCCUGGAGAAGAGAAGGCUGAGAGGGGAUCUUAUCAAUGUGUACAAAUAUCUGAAGGGAGGGUGUCAAAAGGAUGGAGCCAGACUCUUUUCAGUGGUGCCCAGCAACAGGACGCGAGGCAACGGGCACAAACUGAAACACAGGAAGUUCCAUCUGAACUUGAGGAAAAACUUCUUCACUGUGAGGGUGACAGAGCACUGGACCAGGUUGCCCAGAGAKGCUGUGGAGUCUCCUUCUCUGGAGAUAUUCAAAACCCGUCUGGACGCGAUCCUGUACAACGUGCUCUAG